UACAGAGGGGCGAAGCGUUAUUCGGAAUUACUGGGCGUAAAGGGCGCGUAGGCGGUUCUUUAAGUCGGAUGUGCAAUCCCCGACGCUAAACUUAGGGAACGUGCAUCCGAAACUGGGGAGCUAGAGUACUGGAGAGGGUGGUAGAAUUCCACGUGUAGCGGUGAAAUGCGUAGAGAUGUGGAGGAAUACCAGUGGCGAAGGCGGCCACCUGGACAGUAACUGACGCUGAGGCGCG
rnacentral:rRNA from 1 species